AUUGAACGCUGGCGGCAUGCUUUACACAUGCAAGUCGAACGGUAACAGGCCGCAAGGUGCUGACGAGUGGCGAACGGGUGAGUAAUGCAUCGGAACGUGCCCAGUCGUGGGGGAUAACGCAGCGAAAGCUGCGCUAAUACCGCAUACGAUCUAUGGAUGAAAGCGGGGGACCGUAAGGCCUCGCGCGAUUGGAGCGGCCGAUGUCAGAUUAGGUAGUUGGUGGGGUAAAGGCUCACCAAGCCAACGAUCUGUAGCUGGUCUGAGAGGACGACCAGCCCCACUGGGACUGAGACACGGCCCAGACUCCUACGGGAGGCAGCAGUGGGGAAUGUUGGACAAUGGGCGCAAGCCUGAUCCAGCAAUGCCGCGUGCAGGAAGAAGGCCUUCGGGUUGUAAACUGCUUUUGUACGGAACGAAACGGUCCUGGUUAAUACCCGGGGCUAAUGACGGUACCGUAAGAAUAAGCACCGGCUAACUACGUGCCAGCAGCCGCCGUAACAC
rnacentral:rRNA from 1 species